AUGAACGCUGGCGGCGUGCCUAAUACAUGCAAGUCGAGCGAACAGACGAGGAGCUUGCUCCUCUGACGUUAGCGGCGGACGGGUGAGUAACACGUGGAUAACCUACCUAUAAGACUGGGAUAACUUCGGGAAACCGGAGCUAAUACCGGAUAAUAUAUUGAACCGCAUGGUUCAAUAGUGAAAGACGGUUUUGCUGUCACUUAUAGAUGGAUCCGCGCCGCAUUAGCUAGUUGGUAAGGUAACGGCUUACCAAGGCAACGAUGCGUAGCCGACCUGAGAGGGUGUAGGCCCAACGCGAAACCGGAAAAGGUCCCAGACCCCCAGGGAGGGCAAAAGAGGGGAAUUUUCCCCAAAGGGGGAAAGCCUGCCGAGGCAACGCCGGGGGGGGAAUAAAGGUUUUGGGUUUGAAAAACUCUUUUAUUAGGGAAAAACAAAUGUUAAAGUAAUUAAGCCCGUUUUGGCGGUACCAAAUAAGAAAACCCCGGCUAACUGCUU
rnacentral:rRNA from 1 species